AACGAACGCUGGCGGCAGGCUUAACACAUGCAAGUCGAACGCAUCCUUCGGGGUGAGUGGCAGACGGGUGAGUAACGCGUGGGAACGUGCCCUUCAGUUCGGGAUAACCUAGGGAAACUUGGGCUAAUACCGGAUACGUGCGAGAGCAGAAAGAUUUAUCGCGGAAGGAUCGGCCCGCGGCUGAUUAGCUAGUUGGUGGGGUAAUGGCCCACCAAGGCGACGCUCAGUAGCUGGUCUGAGAGGAUGAUCAGCCACAUUGGGACUGAGACACGGCCCAAACUCCUACGGGAGGCAGCAGUGGGGAAUAUUGGACAAUGGGCGCAAGCCUGAUCCAGCCAUGCCGCGUGAGUGAUGAAGGCCUUAGGGUUGUAAAGCUCUUUCGUCCGGGACGAUAAUGACGGUACCGGAAGAAGAAGCCCCGGCUAACUUCGUGCCAGCCGCCGCCGUAAGAC
rnacentral:rRNA from 1 species